rnacentral:rRNA from 1 species
AGAGUUUGAUCAUGGCUCAGAGCGAACGCUGGCGGCAGGCUUAACACAUGCAAGUCGAGCGGGCGUAGCAAUACGUCAGCGGCAGACGGGUGAGUAACGCGUGGGAACGUACCUUUUGGUUCGGAACAACACAGGGAAACUUGUGCUAAUACCGGAUAAGCCCUUACGGGGAAAGAUUUAUCGCCGAAAGAUCGGCCCGCGUCUGAUUAGCUAGUUGGUGAGGUAACGGCUCACCAAGGCGACGAUCAGUAGCUGGUCUGAGAGGAUGAUCAGCCACAUUGGGACUGAGACACGGCCCAAACUCCUACGGGAGGCAGCAGUGGGGAAUAUUGGACAAUGGGCGCAAGCCUGAUCCAGCCAUGCCGCGUGAGUGAUGAAGGCCCUAGGGUUGUAAAGCUCUUUUGUGCGGGAAGAUAAUGACGGUACCGCAAGAAUAAGCCCCGGCUAACUUCGUGCCAGCAGCCGCGGUAAUACGAAGGGGGCUAGCGUUGCUCGGAAUCACUGGGCGUAAAGGGUGCGUAGGCGGGUCUUUAAGUCAGAGGUGAAAUCCUGGAGCUCAACUCCAGAACUGCCUUUGAUACUGAGGAUCUUGAGUUCGGGAGAGGUGAGUGGAACUGCGAGUGUAGAGGUGAAAUUCGUAGAUAUUCGCAAGA